GUUUGUUCUUACUUAAGUAAGUUCUUCUUAAGGUGGAAGGACACAGGUCAUUUCCCCCUAGCUAUCUAAGUAUUAAUAUUACUGGAAAGUAUUAAGAAAUGUACCUCGGUAACUAAAUUAUAGAAAAGUUGCUCUAGAAAAAGCCCCAAAGGGAAGGCAGACCAAGUGAAUCUGUUCAUACCAGCCUGGGAAGGAGUCCUUGAAUUCACUUCCUUUCUUUGCCGCUGACCCAUUGCAUGGCCCCCUGGCCAGUCCUUUUGAAGAAUCUGUGAUUGCGUGAGCAGCCUACUCGAUAAACAUCCAGGAACCCUGAUAUACCUCACAAGCGUUUAUGAUAGUAAGCAGAGUUGGGGAAAUUCGUGUUCAAUAAAAAUGUAAAACCUUAAAAAGAGCCAUGUACUCCCUCCAAAGUCCUGCUGUGGAGAGAUCCAUGUUCACAUGUGCAUCUCCUAUACACAGGGCAAGCUAUAACAUUAAUUUCAGCCCCAAAAUGGGUGCAUGUGCAUUUUCCUACUAACCUGCCACACAGUAUAAUGCUUAGAACAGUUCUGUGUGUAAAAAGUAGACUGAGCUCUGGGGUAAACAUACAGGGAUCCAAUACACAUUUAUUAAGUACUUCCUAGGGGCACAACAUUGUGCUGGGAGCCGUGGAAGAUGAAAAAAUGACCCAGCCCUUGCUUUGGAGACCCUUACAAUCUUGUGGCUGCCUCACUGUUACAGAUCGCAUCCUUUAGUAGAUUUAAGAAACACUUAAAAGUAACUGCUUAAUAUCUGAGCAGCCAUUAAUAAAUUCUCAUCACACCCAAAAUUAUCCCUUGCAAAACUCCUCACUGCUUGGCCGUUUGUUUUGGAGAGAAAAAGGUGAGAUGACACAUGAAUGUUCAGAAGAUCCCGUUGACAUUCUGAAUUUCCCGUCAAGUUUUUAGUUUGGGUUGAAUAGAGAGAAGGUUCGGACAGCUACUGCAGACCCUGCCCUCAGGCUCGAGGGUCCUACAUGUUCCCAGUGAGGUAAAAGAGAAAUCCAAAGAAAGGAGAGAGAGGAGAAAUCGUGCUGACUGACUCUCCUUGGUCCAGAGGGCCAGUGGCCAGGCUCCAUUAAUGUAACCCUUUGUCUGUGGUGCCUUUGAGUAGCCUCCUCUACACCGAUAGGAGAAUGGCUAUUUCUAAGCCAAGUUGGGGAGGGAUGGGGAGCAAGGUUUUGGAACAAUCCAAAAAAAAAUUUUUUUUUUUUUUUAUAUAUCUCCUCGAUACACGAGGAAGGGAAAGAAUACAGAGGAAAACACAAUAAUGGCAUGAUUGUAUUUUUCAUAUCUCCAGAAUGCUUCAGGGGAAGAGACCUGAAUUCUGAGUCCACAGGAGAGUAGCUUGGUAAUAGAUUUUUAUAUAAGUCACUACUAAAGAAAGACUAAGAUGACUGAGAAUCCAAAACAGGGACUUCAGGAUACUCUGCCGUCCCUCAGUCCCUCGCUCUAAUAUCUGUUGUAUGGAACUCAGGAUGGCAGAAAAGUUGGCACUCUCAUGUAUGAUUUUGCAGCAGCUGGAUGCACAUGCCUACUAGCUCUAUUGAUUCCAGAAUGAAUGUAUUUAUGUUUGCAAAAUGGUUUUGGGUCUUUGAAAUCUCUGAGUAAAGAUUUGGUGGGAACCCAUUAAAAGAAGUAGCAUUCAGGGCAGCUAGGUGGUGCAGUGGAUAGAGCACUAGCCCUGAGUUCAAAUGUAGCCCCAAGCACUUAACAUUUCCUAGCUGUGUGACCCUGAGCAAGUCACUUAACCCCAAUUGUCUCAGGAAAAAAAAAAAGUGUUAGUUGAGUUCCCAGAGAUGGUUACUCGGCAAAUUACAUCAUUUGAAUGUACUCAUUCAAAUACAAUUAUCUUCACACUUAAUUUUUGAUAUAUAAUGAUCUGUGCAUUGUACAUAAGUAAACUGGGCUAGACAUUUGCAAUUUCUUUAUUAUAUAAAGGAGUUCAUUUAUGGGGCAAAUAUAAAAACACAGUUAUCUCUCCGGCGUUACAACUUUCCCAUUGCAGUUUUGCUGUAUUGCAGGUUGGCAUAAGAAAUUAAGUGGGAGUUUGGGGGAAGUUUUACAGAAGCCACGCAAAGCCCAGCAAACUCUGAACUAUGACCAAAUAUGUAAUUCAAAUUUAAAAUGAGAUACUGCAAACACCCUACAGAAGAAAAGAAAAAAUUCAGGUUUGUUCUCUGGGAUGAAGAGGGCCAAAAAAAUCUUGCGUACAUUUUCCAGAUCAAGAGGGUGCUGCACCCCUGAUCGCAGCCAUAGGGGAGGGAUGACUGUGUUUCUGGGUCACUUGGACAAAGUGUUUAUUGCUAGCAGAAGCACCCAGGAAAAGUUCCAGGACAUAUCCAGAGCAAGGUAAAACAAGUGUUUUGAGACAGCGACAAUCUGAGUGGCUGUUUUUUAAUGGAGCACAUAACAUUGCUGAUAAUAAAUUGUUGGGACAAUUUUUGUUUUUGUUCCUCUCUGCCCCCUUGUCACUCUCUCUAUCUUUAAAAAAAAAAAAAACAUUAUCGCGUUCUUCAGUCAUUAACAGAGCUAGGGCGUCAAAAAUUAAAAUAUUCUCCAAAGCGAUUCCAUGAGGAUGGGUUUGUUCCUUUUCCUCCUUAGUUAUCCCAACAUUGGUGAUAGCUGAAAAGGUGAAACAUAUAUUCACUCCCUUCCCACCAUAGUUUUAAUUUCCACAUUCCAGGUACAUGAUGUAGCAUAUGGGAUUGGGGGUUAAGAUGACUUGUUUUUAAUCCUGCUUCACACACUUAGUAGUUAGGGACACUUAUCCAUUCCCUGCCUCAGUUUUCUCACCUGUAAAUAAUGGGAAUGAACCUGAUGCCUUCUAGCAGCCCCGCUGUGAUCUAUGGUCCCAUGACUUGAGUUAACCUAUUCUUGCACAGACCAAACCCUUUACCCUGCUUUUAUUCUUAAUAAACAAUGAUUCCUGUUUGUACAGCAAUGAGUUCACAUGAUAAAAAUGUAGAAACUCCUUUGCUACUCUUUCAGCUACCGUGGAACCUCAUUCAUUUGGGCUCCAGUCAUUCGACAACGUAUGUGAUGACUGGACUAGAAUUUACCUUUGCUUCUCAAAUCCUUACUCUGUAAAUAAUGCAAUUUACUUCUGCAAACAAGACCUCUGAGCAACAUACUUUUCAAUCAGAUGGAUGCAUUAGCUGUUUGACUAUGGGCAAGUCCAUUUUCCUCUUUGACUUUCAGUUUCUUAUCUCUUAAAUGAAGGAAUUAUUAGAAUAAUAAUGAUGUUGAUCUCAGAAAAGCUCUUCUCUUCCAGCCCUGACUUGCCAUGAUCCUAUUACAGAAGAAACAUUUUAGCCAUUUUAUAUAUGAAAACAAUACACAAUUUAUUCUUCCCUGUUCGUUAAAAUAGGUACCCUGAGGGUUUCUAGUAAGCAACUUUGUUUACAUAGUUCAAGCUUCUGUAUGGACUGGAAAAUCAUUGUGUGGCCUUGCUUUAAAAACACCAUAAUUCAUCAUUUUAACCGACAGACUGGUCUUUUCAGUUGUUUUAUUGAAUUAGGAGAUUUUACUAUAUCCAGGUAAAAUCAUGCAGGUAAUGAGGAACACCAGGAGAGAUUGAGGAACCUAUAGCAACUGUGUUUAUAAAAUAAGACUAUCUAUAUAUUGACAACAACUUGGACUAAGGGACAGAAAAACAGACCGGUCCACUGAGUUUUUAGAGAAACUAGUGUUUGAAGGUUCAUUUAAGAAGCUCUACCAUGUAAGCUCCUUGAUUACAAGGAUACCUCAUUUUUCAUCUCUGUAUCUCGAGUCCCUUUUUAUCUUUGUAUUUCUAGUGCCUUACAGACAGUUGGCACUUAAUAAAUGUUCAUUAACUUGACCUGAAUUUGACUGAUUUUUUUUAAUCACCCUAAACACAAGCUUCUCUAUUAUAAAAAAUUAUGAAAAACAUCAUGUUAUUUUAUUUUCCCAGAUCCCGAAGGCAAAAACAAACUACAUGGGGCAAUAUUUCUUGACGCCUGCUCAUCACUCCCAGUUCAUAUAGUCUGGGCGAUACUGGGCAUUGUAAAACUACAUUCAUGCAUUUUCAGCGUCUUUGUUGAAACUUUCCAGCACCAUGGUAACCAAAGGUCCCAAGGUUGAAUGCAGGCAAUAGGAAUUAGAGGGUGUCUUGCUUAGAAUAGCAGGGCAUAAAAUAUCAUGAACGACAGAUACAAAAGCAGCCUGGUCUUUGGUUUCUAAGCUAUCAAGAGAUCAAUG
rnacentral:lncRNA from 1 species